CUCACGGAGAAUCCAGGCUCUCAUCCGUUUAAUGAGAUCUUAUACUGCAAUAUUGGGAAUCCUCAUUCCCUGGGUCAGAAGCCUAUUACUUUCUUUAGGGAGGUCCUUGCGUUAUGUGACCAUCCACUUCUUUUGGACAGAAGUGAAACAAAAGCUCUGUUCAGGUA